GAUUUCCUGGAAGCUGGCUGUCCAUCAAUGUGUAUGUAAGAUGUGUUAUGAGUAUGAUGCUUCCAUAUACGUUUGGAUGUUUUCAGCUAAGUUCACUUCUGAACUAUGGGGUUCCUCCAAGUGUUGACUGAAAUCUGUCCUUGAGCAUCCCCACACUCAUCUAAUCUACAGUCCAUAAUGGAGCCACUGUACUGGCUUUUGGAAGGAGGAGAUUCUGAAGAUAGGGAGAUUCAGCAAUCAGUCUUUGAAAUUUCCUGUGGUCUGUUCAAUCUAGAUGCAAAGGACAUGGAAAAAUCAAGUGCUCAAGUGGUUUAAAUAUGUUUUGGAUAUUCUUAUUUAUAGAUUACAGGAUUUUUCCAAUUAAAAUCCACAGUUGUCAUGCAGAAGGAGGUUAUGCCCUUCUUGAUCACCAGUUUUAUUUGAAAUGCUUAGCAUUAUAGUGUUACUGAAUGCUGUUUUAAUCAAAGUAUAGAAAAAAUAAAAUCAAUUUUAUAUGUUGACUUUUUUUCUAAAAUGACUUUAUUGAACUAAAUGAAUGUUUAAACCUGAAAAAGAGGGUUCCCCCCGAGAAAAAUCAUUUUCUCCAUUAUAGCAAUUCUUCUGGCAAUCUGAUAUCAUUAGAAUAGGUUUAAAAUCACUUUCUAAUGUGACCCUAUUAUAUUUAUGGAAGAAGAAAGACUUAAAAGGUAUCCAUAUAUAUUAUUUUAAUUCUCUAUAGUAGUCCCUCUGGAAUGAAACAUUUUCUUUUAAAAACAUCUAUUAGCUCAACUCAGGUAUGAGGGAAAAAUCAUCUCAACUGGCAGAGCAUUUGUUACGUGUUUGAGUAUUUGGUUUCUAUAAAGGUUGACAUCCAGUCUUCCACAGAGUUCUUAUAUUUGGGCAGACUGAAUAAUGAGGGGUUGCCUUGUCACUGGGAAAUUCCUUGUUGUGGCCUUUGUGGUGGCUGAAGGAAAACGGAAGGAUUCCUCUGUGGCAGGCAGGCCUCUGGCUUCGGCGGUGUGAACACUGUCAAGGGGUAUGUCUGACCAGGGGUAGCCCUUAGUGAGGGGACUGGAGAGAUGCACAGAUGUGCUGACACCCGAAAAAGUAGUGGUGAGUGACUGUUUUGUACGUGACACAGUUUGUGCUUCAUCCACUUCUAUAGUUUUCACAAAAUCCUAUGAUAAAUUCUUAAGUGCAGAUCUCCGUACAGCAAAGUAAAUUUCUUAGGCUAGAAUAUUUUUUAUUUUUAAUUAAACUUUAUAUUUUGAGAUAAUUACAGAUUUCACAUGCAGCUUUACUAAAUAAUGGAGCAGUCCUCUGUACCUUUCGUUAGUAAGUUUCCCCUCAGUAGGGAAAGUAUCACAACCUGGACACUGGCGUCAUUACAGCCCAGAUGCAGAGCUUCCAUCCCCAGAAGGACUCCUCACUCUGUCCUUUCAUAGUCAUACAUGCUUCUCUCCUGCUCCUCCUCCUUUAGCAUCACUAGGCUGUUCUCCUUUCCUAUAAUUUUUUUUCUUUUCAAGGAUGGUCUAUAAAUGGAAUCACAUAGUAUAUAACCUCUUGGGAUUGACUUUUCUCUCUCAGCACAAUUUUCUGGAGAUUCAACUUGGAUGUAUCAAUAUUCUGUUCUUUUUAUGGUUGGGUAAUAUCCCAUGGUAUGGUUGCCCCACAGUUUGUUUAACCAUUGUACCAGUUGAGACUUCAGUUUUGUUUCUGGUUUUUCACCAUUAUGAAUAAAACUGCUGUAAACAUGCAUGUACAGAUUUUUAUGUGAACAUAAGUUUUCAUUUUCCUGGGAUAAAUGCCCAGGAGUGUGAUUGUGGGUCAUAUGAUAAUUACAUAGAAUCUUUUUAAGACUAGAAUUGAUUUUGUGUGUAUGGAAGGGGAGACAAAGAGAACAUCUACAUUUUUGUGGUAUUUUUGCUUUAACUGGAUUUGUCUAUGAUUUCAAAACAUACAGACUAUUUUAAAUAACUUGUAGCUAGAUAUAAAAAAAAAUUUUUCUACAAACUAGAUUUUGUUCUUAUUUCUAGAGAAAUACUUUUGAGAAAAAACUGACUUUUUUUGGCGGGGGUGGGGUGUAAGCAAUUUCUGUGUAAAGGAAUAAAGGUAGACAUACACUAUAGAAAAGUGCUGCAAAGCUGACAGGUUACUUGGGGAAAUUUUCCGAGUGUUAAUAGAGACUUGACAUUCAAGGGUAUAUUGUAAUAGUUUUUCAAUUUGUAGACUUUAACUUUUGUCACUGCCAUGGUGCCUGCAGAUUUUAUUUGUAGAAUAAAUUCAUUAUCUUUAUAA